GACGAACGCUGGCGGCGUGCUUAACACAUGCAAGUCGAACGGAAAGGCCCUGCUUUUGUGGGGUGCUCGAGUGGCGAACGGGUGAGUAACACGUGAGUAACCUGCCCUUGACUUUGGGAUAACUUCAGGAAACUGGGGCUAAUACCGGAUAGGAGCUCCUGCUGCAUGGUGGGGGUUGGAAAGUUUCGGCGGUUGGGGAUGGACUCGCGGCUUAUCAGCUUGUUGGUGGGGUAGUGGCUUACCAAGGCUUUGACGGGUAGCCGGCCUGAGAGGGUGACCGGCCACAUUGGGACUGAGAUACGGCGCAGACGCCUACGGGAGGCAGCAGUGGGGAAUAUUGCACAAUGGGCGGAAGCCUGAUGCAGCAACGCCGCGUGCGGGAUGUCGGCCUUCGGGUUGUAAACCGCUUUCGACUGUGACGAAGCGUGAGUGACGGUAAUGGGUAAAGAAGCACCGGCUAACUACGUG
rnacentral:rRNA from 1 species